rnacentral:piRNA from 1 species
UGAAUGCACUAUGUAGUUAAGGAUGACCU